AGUGUCAGCUGUUCUUAAGUUUUGGACUAGGUCGGGCGUGCGCUCGGUUCUUCGUCUUUGCUCGCUCGUUUCUAACUUAGCCUGUCGCCACCAAGUCGAUCGUCGCGCCACCGUGCACAGCGCUGCCAGCACGCCUGUCGUUCUCCUCCUUGUGUCGUACUCCUCCCUUCACUCGUUUCUAAUCCAUACCACCGGUGCCAAGCAUGUCGGGAGCGCCACCGUGCAUAGCGCUGCCAGCACGCCUGUUGUUCUCCUCCCUGUGUCGUACUCCUCCCUUCACUCAUUUCUAAUUCAUACCAUCGGCACCAAGCAUGUCGGGAGCGCCACCGUGCUCCACCCAGUGCCGCUGUGGUCCUUUGCAGGCUUCUCGAGAUGGUGUCAGCCUUCGGUUGUUAAAGUUUGUAUCAAGAGGCAUAAAGGUUCAAAUCCAUAUCACCAGGAGAUUCUGUGCGGCGAGAAUGCGGCAGAAAAGUUGCUGGUGAAGGUGUGCCACAUGGGAGGAUGAUGAUGCUGAAGAAAAAUGAGUCGAAGCUUGACAGGUGAUCCGAAGCUGACUGAUGUCAAAAGCUGAAGACCUUGCUGGAAAAAUUUUAGAGAAAAAUCUUGUAAUAUCAUUGUAAAAAAUAUUUGUAAUUUAAGAAUCAGAUACUAAUUCUGUAAUUUGUGUAUACUUUGUAAUAUAUCUUUACCUUUUUGUCCAUG
rnacentral:lncRNA from 7 species